GAUUAGCUAGUUGGUGGGGUAACGGCUCACCAAGGCGACGAUCAGUAGCUGGUCUGAGAGGAUGAUCAGCCUCACUGGGACUGAGACACGGCCCAGACUCCUACGGGAGGCAGCAGUGGGGAAUAUUGGACAAUGGGAGCAAGCCUGAUCCAGCCAUGCCGCGUGGGUGAUGAAGGCCCUAGGGUUGUAAAGCCCUUUCGGCGGGGAAGAUAAUGACGGUACCCGCAGAAGAAGCCCCGGCUAACUUCGUGCCAGCAGCCGCGGUAAUACGAAGGGGGCUAGCGUUGCUCGGAAUCACUGGGCGUAAAGCGCACGUAGGCGGAUUGUUAAGUCAGGGGUGAAAUCCUGGAGCUCAACUCCAGAACUGCCUUUGAUACUGACGGUCUUGAGUCCGGGAGAGGUGAGUGGAACUGCGAGUGUAGAGGUGAAAUUCGUAGAUAUUCGCAAGAACACCAGUGGCGAAGGCGGCUCACUGGCCCGGUACUGACGCUGAGGUGCGAAAGC
rnacentral:rRNA from 1 species